ensembl:lncRNA LINC00518 long intergenic non-protein coding RNA 518
GCACUAAAACACACUAAGGGCUUUGUUAUGGACUGAAAUGUGUCCUCUCCCCAGAGUCACAGGAUUAUGAAGCCAUAAUCCUCAAUGUGACUAUAUUUGGAGCAGGGGCCUUUACAGACAUAAUUAAAUUAAAUGAGGUCAUAAGAGUGGGGCCCUAGUCUGAUAGGACUGGUGUCCUUACAAGAAGAGGGAGAGUCCUCAGAGAGUCCUCUCUCUCGGCAUGGACACAAAAGAAAAGCCAUGUGAGGACACAGAGAGAAGGUGGCUGUCUACGAGCUAGGAAGAAAGGCCUCACCGGAAACCAACCCUCACAGCAGCUCCAUCUUGGACUUCCAGCCUCCGGAACUGUGAGAAAAUAAAUGUUUGCAAUUCAGGCUCAGAGCCACUCAGACAUUGGGAAGCAAGUUUGUCAAGAUGACAGAGAACCGAGGUAAUGGAUUCGAGUGAUGAAACAGGAAGUUCAUUCAUGAGUUUUUGGCCACACCUCCAAAGUGACGACUUAGCCAGAAAUGGGAUAACUGGGUUUCCCUACUUCUCUUUUAUCAUCCUCAAUGAGAGUGACCAAAUAUUAGAGCUAGAUGGAACCUUAGUGAAAAUCUGGCUACUCGUCCCGUCCCACCAGCCUGCCACCCAUUUCAAGUUUGAAGAGACAAAGACACAUGGACCUUAUGUAAUUACUGGGGAUUACCCCAGGAGUCUGUGGCAAAAGUCAGCUUCUUCCCUCCCUGCUUCCCCGCCCUGUCUCUGGUACUUUCUACCAACACUGGGCUGUUUCUGUGAUCACACUUAAGCGUACCUAACCUGCGAAUGCUGUAUAGAAGGUGCUAAUGAACAUGAUUUAGCUUUAACACUCAGUUUUCUAAAGGGACACGUGGGGGCAGCAAAUGUUUAGGCAAAAACAAUUCCAGUUCUAGCCUCUACUGUCUACAUAUGUGUAUACAUUUGGGAAACGUUUGGGAAAGGGAUAUUUGAGAGCUUCUUUUUCUUUUUUGUGGUUUAGUUAUUUGAUGAUAUUGAGAUUGUUUCUGAGCCAUGUGCUUCAACAUCGGAUUGGGGAUUUCAGAAAAAGUUUUAGUCACUGUGAUUCCAUUUAGCUUCCAAAUGUGUCUCUGCUAAGAGACUUAAAAGCACUCAUAAAUAGCACGUGUGUCUUCUUUGCAGUGUUUGCUAAUUUUGAGUCACAUCUUUUUAGAAAAUCAUGAGAUUUGGUGUCACAGAGACUGGAAUAAAUAUAGUCAAACUUAUUGGUGAAGAUUUCCUUUAGCUGUUUUCAUAAUCCAUUUCCAUUGUUAUGAUUAUUGAUGAAUAAAACAUUUUCUUUAGGUAGAUACUUCUUUUUUCCCCCCACCUUGAUUUAAUGUUUCCACUCUUAUUGUCAAGUUUCUUAUUACUCCCUAAUAACUCUCAAUAAAAUAAUGAUUCCUGGGAGAUUA